UAUCCUAACCGUGCAAAGGUAGCGCAAUCAAUUGUCCCAUAAAUCGAGACCUGUAUGAAUGGCUAAACGAGGUCUUAACUGUCUCUUACAGGCAAUCAGUGAAAUUGAUCUCCCUGUACAAAAGCAGGGAUAAACCCAUAAGACGAGAAGACCCUGUGGAACUUCAAAAGCAGCAGCCACCCCAAAUAGAAUACACACCCACCUGGGCUCACCUAUCUCAACGGGCUACUGGCCUGCACUUUUUCGGUUGGGGCGACCUUGGAGCAAAAACAAACCUCCAAAUCUUGGACCUUACAUCCAGACUAAGAGCAACCACUCAACGUGCUAAUAGCAACCAGAUCCAAUACAAUUGAUCAAUGGACCAAGCUACCCCAGGGAUAACAGCGCAAUCUCCUCCAAGAGUCCAUAUCGACGGGGAGGUUUACGACCUCGAUGUUGGAUCAGGACAUCCUAGUGGUGCA
rnacentral:rRNA from 1 species